UAACGCGAAGAACCUUACCAAGGCUUGACAUACACCGGAAACGGCCAGAGAUGGUCGCCCCCUUGUGGUCGGUGUACAGGUGGUGCAUGGUUGUCGUCAGCUCGUGUCGUGAGAUGUUGGGUUAAGUCCCGCAACGAGCGCAACCCUCGUUUUAUGUUGCCAGCGCGUUAUGGCGGGGACUCAUAGGAGACUGCCGGGGUCAACUCGGAGGAAGGUGGGGAUGACGUCAAAUCAUCAUGCCCCUUAUGUCUUGGGCUUCACGCAUGCUACAAUGGCCGGUACAAAGGGCUGCGGUACCGUAAGGUGGAGCGAAUCCCAAAAAGCCGGUCUCAGUUCGGAUUGAGGUCUGCAACUCGACCUCAUGAAGUCGGAGUCGCUAGUAAUCGCAGAUCAGCA
rnacentral:rRNA from 1 species